GGUGCGACUUUGGUGACAAGCAUUAUGAUGAAGGUGAGACCAUAGACAUGGAGGCAACGUGUGCCACGUGCGUGUGUGACCAAGGUGAUAUGACUUGUGACUACAGCAAGUGUGGUGCCGACUCAGGAGCCACUGAGAGCUCGGAUGGGUAACCGACACAAUAACUUCAUAUGCCAAGGUUACAGAAACAGGUUUCCAGAACAACCACAAUAACUUCUCAAACAGACGAUGAAUCCUAAAUCUUAUAUUUAAAGUCACGAAAUUUCGAUAGUUAUUUUUAUUUGGAUGUAAUAAAGUGAUCAAAAAUGUAUACAUGUUUCCUAUAGUUUGGAAUUUUCGUUCCUGUAUUGAACGAU